AAACCCCUGUGAACAUACCUAUACGUUGCCUCGGCGGAUCAGCCCGCGCCCCGUAAAAAGGGACGGCCCGCCCGAGGACCCCUAAACUCUGUUUUUAGUGGAACUUCUGAGUAAAACAAACAAAUAAAUCAAAACUUUCAACAACGGAUCUCUUGGUUCUGGCAUCGAUGAAGAACGCAGCAAAAUGCGAUAAGUAAUGUGAAUUGCAGAAUUCAGUGAAUCAUCGAAUCUUUGAACGCACAUUGCGCCCGCCAGUAUUCUGGCGGGCAUGCCUGUUCGAGCGUCAUUUCAACCCUCAAGCUCAGCUUGGUGUUGGGACUCGCGGUAACCCGCGUUCCCCAAAUCGAUUGGCGGUCACGUCGAGCUUCCAUAGCGUAGUAAUCAUACACCUCGUUACUGGUAAUCGUCGCGGCCACGCCGUAAAACCCCAACUUCUGAAUGUUGACCUCGGAUCAGGUAGGAAUACCCGCUGAACUUAA
rnacentral:rRNA from 1 species